rnacentral:tRNA from 1 species
GGAGAGGUGUCUGAGCGGUUUAAAGAGCACGCCUGGAAAGUGUGUAUACGUUAAUAGCGUAUCGCGGGUUCGAAUCCCGCCCUCUCCGCCA